rnacentral:rRNA from 1 species
UGGGGAAUAUUGCACAAUGGGGGAAACCCUGAUGCAGCGACGCCGCGUGAGUGAGGAAGUAUUUCGGUAUGUAAAGCUCUAUCAGCAGGGAAGAAAAUGACGGUACCUGACUAAGAAGCCCCGGCUAACUACGUGCCAGCAGCCGCGGUAAUACGUAGGGGGCAAGCGUUAUCCGGAUUUACUGGGUGUAAAGGGAGCGUAGACGGACAUGCAAGUCUGAUGUGAAAAUCCGGGGCCCAACCCCGGAUUGCAUUGGAAACUGUGUGCCUGGAGUGUCGGAGAGGCAAGUGGAAUUCCUGGUGUAGCGGUGAAAUGCGUAGAUAUCAGGAGGAACACCAGUGGCGAAGGCGGCUUGCUGGACGAUGACUGACGUUGAGGCUCGAAAGCGUGGGGAGCAAACAGGAUUAGAUACCC